CGGGUCAAACGCGAUGAAACAAACGGAUACGAAUAAAGGAAUGCUUUAGGUUAAGACAAUGAGCUGGAAAUGAUUCUUCUCGACAAUAGUUCAUUAAACCAGACAGACCAUGCCCCCCGGCGG
rnacentral:lncRNA from 1 species